rnacentral:rRNA from 1 species
ACGAACGCUGGCGGCGUGCCUAAUCCAUGCAAGUAGAACGCUGAAGGAGGAGCUUGCUUCUCUGGAUGAGUUGCGAACGGGUGAGUAACGCGUAGGUAACCUGCCUGGUAGCGGGGGAUAACUAUUGGAAACGAUAGCUAAUACCGCAUAAGAGUAGAUGUUGCAUGACAUUUGCUUAAAAGGUGCAAUUGCAUCACUACCAGAUGGACCUGCGUUGUAUUAGCUAGUUGGUGAGGUAACGGCUCACCAAGGCGACGAUACAUAGCCGACCUGAGAGGGUGAUCGGCCACACUGGGACUGAGACACGGCCCAGACUCCUACGGGAGGCAGCAGUAGGGAAUCUUCGGCAAUGGACGGAAGUCUGACCGAGCAACGCCGCGUGAGUGAAGAAGGUUUUCGGAUCGUAAAGCUCUGUUGUAAGAGAAGAACGAGUGUGAGAGUGGAAAGUUCACACUGUGACGGUAGCUUACCAGAAAGGGACGGCUAACUACGUG